AGAGCACUUCAACCUGAGAGAUUGCAUUGGAAAUGUCAUUAAGAUGCCGGAAAGGGUGAUGUCCAAUGGCUCAUCUUUCUCAGAGAAGAGCAAGUCCAUCA